CAAUAGCGUAUAUUUAAGUUGUUGCAGUUAAAAAGCUCGUAGUUGGAUUUCGGUUGAGAACGGCCGGUCCGCCGUUUGGUGUGCACUGGCUGGUUUCAACUUCCUGUAGAGGACGUGCUCUGGCUUCACGGCUGGACGCGGAGUCUACGUGGUUACUUUGAAAAAAUUAGAGUGUUCAAAGCGGGCUUACGCUUGAAUAUUUCAGCAUGGAAUAACACUAUAGGACUCCUGUCCUAUUUCGUUGGUCUCGGGACGGGAGUAAUGAUUAAGAGGAACAGUUGGGGGCAUUCGUAUUUCAUUGUCAGAGGUGAAAUUCUUGGAUUUAUGAAAGACGAACUUCUGCGAAAGCAUUUGCCAAGGAUGUUUNCAUUAG
rnacentral:rRNA from 1 species